UUUGUUUGACAAUUCAGCAGUGGGUUCUGUCAACAAGUAUACUCCUGCGAACAGAAAAACUCGUCCGACAAACAACUUUGUUAGUCCGAUUCGUUUGAUGUUGGAUCGAAUCAACGAUAUGGUCGGACGUCGCACCCCUCGGAGUAACGUCAGAAUAAGUAAACAAGAAAUAAUCAGCUGAUCAGAAACGUCUCAUGGAUUGCCUAAUUGACAUUUUGUUCUACGCUACUCGCCGUAGCUGUGUACUGUAAAAAGUGUAGCAGCACGAACACAUAGAAACAAAAGUUUUCUACUUUAAAUUUAAAAUUAAAAACGAAGUUUUAAGUUGAGUGGUUUUAUUCAUUUCGUUCCUUCAGUGGCUAAAAUUGAUCAACAUGCCGUUUAAAAUUAUUCAAACGGUUGAAAAUGGCUUUUGCACUUGACGAUCCAUCAGACAUGAUCGUUUACGAGGAAAACAUAUCCUCAAACACCGAUGUUGAAGUAACCCAACCUAGCGACGUUGAACGUAAUAUUCCAGUUGGGACCGUACCCCCACUCCUCUCCACAGCCGUGUGAAAACGAGAAUUCGACAUUUACCGACCUGGGAUAAGCCAAUUUAUGUAACAUUGAUUCAAUAAUUACCG